ensembl:lncRNA
CGACCCUGAAGACUGUAUUGAACCAUAUGGGACACCUUCUAUAUGCAAUGGGGAAUCAUAGGCUAGUUUCAAUUGGGAAGUGAGGUUACAAAAUUAUCCAGUUUGUAAUUUUUGAAAAUUAUAUGGUUGCUCUAAAGAAUAAAUUACAAGAGAGAAGCUGUAAAAACUGGAGAAUUGUAAGGUUGAUUUUUUGUUUUGUUUUGUUUUGUUUUGUUUUGUUUACUGUUGUCUUGGCAAAGGAUUGGUACUAAUGACCCCUUUUAUUGGCCAAAGGAACAAACAGGAAGCCUUUGGUCCUAGUCAGUCUGUUACAUCUAGAAGACAGAUCUGACUGACUGGACUGCGCCCUGAGUAAAUAACACGAUCUUGGGGUUCAUGGUGUGGUCAGAUAUCCCGCAACAGCAAGUCAUUCAGACGAUCAGUGCUGCUCUCUUAGCGGGAACACUCCUCAAGCGGGACUGGAUUAAUCCAUGGGAGCUAGCCGAGCCGUGAGAAGCCAGGAAGCCUGCUGUGGUCCACCCUUUUACCUGGAAUCACUCCUUUCCAUGUGGGCUGAACGCCCACGUGCAGCUGUCUGAUCUCAGGGUUUCUAUCAUCCAGAGUAUUCUCUGGAAGCUCCAGCAGGGUUGGCCCAGCUCCUGGCUUCCUCUCCUGGCAACAGCCUCAGGUCUUUUUGAUGAAUUGAAUGAGAAGUGGAGCCCUCAGGUCCAGUCCUGAUACUGCAGGUAUUUGAGACUACAGAACACAGAGGGCUGCAGUUGAAAACGAUAAAUAAUUCACAGCUCCCAAGAGAAAAGUUUGGAUCUUACCGCAGGCCAACAGCAAAUCCCUCUUUUCUCUGCCGGCCUGAUGAGGAAACCUUAGGCACAAAAAGCCAGCGCGGUUUUCAGAGCGGGGAUACCUCCACCUCUUCCCUUAGCCUCAGAGCCGCCAACCAACCUGCUUCGGAUGGAAAGAAUGAGGCGUCUACCAAAGUUGGGGAACCGAGGCUGCGGAGAUGGGCUGCAGCCAGCUCAAGCACUCCUCUGAUGGCAGAGGAGCCCCACUUGGUGCUGGUUGACAGCCUCUGGUCCCCUCAGUGCGUCCUGCAAAGCCUGAGACACUGCCAUUCCCCAGUAUGACCAGCAGGGGGCGACAAACCCCACCCCGCAUUAGAAAGCCCCGGAAGGAGCUUGUAACUUGCAGAGAGAAUAGAAUCCACCCAGCCUCUUAGGUCCUGACUGUUUAGUGGGCUUCCUGUGAAUCUUAUUGGACUACAUUACACACAUACACCCACACACAAGCAAAAAUCUCAUAGAGACGGGCUCACCUCCAUUUUCAGGUCCCUCUGAGUAUGGGGGGGGGGGUGUUAAAAAUCUUCAAAGCAGGGGUGAGGUGGGGAGGGGCUGGGGAGGUGGAGAGAGGGCUCAGACUUUAAUUGGGAUCCACACACAUAACUGUCCAGCUCCAAGAAUCUGACUCCCUCUUCUGGCCUCUGUGAGCAAAGCACUCACAGGCACACUCUUUAAAAAAACAAAAACAAAAAACAAACAACAAAAGAAAACAGAUCCUUAACAAAUUUAAAGAUUCUUUAAAAUACUUGAUUAUUAACAUAGAGGGCUACAAAAUAUACCCUCAAGAUCUUUAUAGAGAAGAACGGUGUACCUAAAUGGAGGAGUAUACACUUAGUAUGUUUAAGGGCCUGGAUUGGUC